CCCCUAGACGUUCUGGGCUGCACGCGCGCUACAAUAAUACGCACAGCGAGUAUCACCGAGCUCGAAAGGGCAAGGUAAACAAUAGAAAAGGUACUGUAAUGGUUAUAGAUCCUUGUAAUUAUUGAUCUUCAACGAGGAAUUCCUAGUAAGUAUGUGUCAUCAUCACGCACUGAUUACGUCCCUGCCCUUUGUACACACCGCCCGUCGCUCCUACCGAUUUGGUGAGCCGAUGAAACUCUCGGAUGUAGGCUAUUCAUAGCCCGCAGAAGAGAUUUGAAUCGUAGCGCUUAGAGGAAGGAGAAGUCGUAACA
rnacentral:rRNA from 1 species